GGUGAGGGGACUGCUUACCUGAGAGGAGUCGCAUUUCCUUGUCUCCUUCUCCUUCUUGGCCAGACGCUUCUUUUUCUUGUGCAGAGGCUUGGACUCAAGGAUCAUUUCUUCGAGUUCAAAGGCCAGACUGAAUAAGGAGAUUACAACUCAGUCCUGCAGGAACAGUCCAAGAAUAACCAGCUGGGAUUUCCACCCAAAGUUUUAGGUGAUCCUGAUUACAUUCACACAGACCAAGGCAGGGGAGAAGGAAGGAUUGGAGUGAUUGGAAAGAGCAUACAGGUAAGCCCCAAGGGUUGGAGACCUUGUCUGUUUUGCUCCCUACAAGAUCACCAGCACCAGAAACAGAGGCAAUGAGUAGUCCCUUGCACCCUCCUGAAUCAAGAUCAGACUGGAUGCUUGCUAAAAGGAGAUUCCUGAGGUUCACCUCAGACCUGUGCAAUCAGAAGCUCUCCAGGCUGGUGAAGUCAUCCCUAUUUCAGAGAAGAGCUGUUUGUGGCUAAGUUCUCAGUGUUCAGAAGCAGCAGAGCUGGAAUUAGGAUCUAUCAUUUGGUCCAGGACUCCUUUGCUGAGUUAUGAAUUGUCCAAAGAC